GACGUAGGGCGCGAGCGUUGUCCGGAUUUAUUGGGCGUAAAGAGCUCGUAGGCGGCUUGUCGCGUCGAAUGUGAAAUCCUGCGGCUCAACCGCAGGCUUGCAUUCGAUACGGGCAGGCUCGAGUUCGGUAGGGGAGACUGGAAUUCCUGGUGUAGCGGUGAAAUGCGCAGAUAUCAGGAGGAACACCGGUGGCGAAGGCGGGUCUCUGGGCCGAUACUGACGCUGAGGAGCGAAAGCGUGGGGAGCGAACAGG
rnacentral:rRNA from 1 species